GCUCGCGUGACGCAAUUGGCAGACGUGUCCCUCUCAAAAGGGGAAUGUUGAGAGUUCGAGUCUCUCCGCGAGCA
rfam:TNVERIFIED: Cronobacter phage S13, complete genome.